rnacentral:lncRNA from 1 species
AGUUUGUUUUGACAACCACCAUCUCAUUGUUGAGACCCUGCUCAGUAUGAGCCUUUCUGGCUCCACCAGCUUCUAGCUUGGCACCAACCAAGACCUUGUCAGCCUUCAGUCUACAUGGCAUGGGUACAGAAAUCCUAUCACCUAAGAUUUCCCUAAGGAGCCGGGCUUUCAAAUUCACCAUUGUGCUGUCCAGCUGGCUCUGAAGAAGCAAGCCACCACAUUGCUGACUGCUCAUGGAGAGGAACACACAUGGAGGAACUGUGCAUAGCCUCCAGGAGCUGAGUGUAGCUUCCAGGUGACAGUCAGGAAAAAUCUAGAGCUCUCAGUCCUACUACCGAGGUAA